AGGGGUGUAGCUCAGUGGUAGAGCACUUGCCUAAUAUGUGUGAGACCCUGGGUUAGAUCCCCAGCACUGCAA
rnacentral:tRNA from 1 species